GUGCUCACUUCAGCAGCACAUAUACUAAAAAUUGGAACAAUACAGACAAGCUCAGCAUGGCCCCUGCUCAAGGAUGACACACAAAUCCGUGAAGCGUUCCAUAUUUCC